rnacentral:rRNA from 1 species
CCUACGGGAGGCAGCAGUGGGGAAUAUUGCACAAUGGGGGAAACCCGGAUGCAGCGACGCCGCGUGAAGGAAGAAGUCUUUCGGUAUGUAACCUUCUAUCAGCAGGGAAGAAAAUGACGGUACCUGACUAAGAAGCCCCGGCUAACUACGUGCCAGCAGCCGCGGUAAGACGUAGGGGGCAAGCGUUAUCCGGAUUUACUGGGUGUAAAGGGAGCGUAGGCGGUUUAGCAAGUCAGAAGUGAAAGCCCGGGGCUCAACUCCGGGACUGCUUUUGAAACUGUUGCACUAGAUAGCAGGAGAGGUAAGUGGAAUUCCUAGUGUAGCGGUGAAAUGCGUAGAUAUUAGGAGGAACACCAGUGGCGAAGGCGGCUUACUGGACUGUAAAUGACGCUGAGGCUCGAAAGCGUGGGGAGCAAACAGGAUUAGAUACCCGAGUAGUC